UAAUGUAAGCAUGAGAAGUUAGCAGGUUGAAGAGAUAAUGGGACAUAAUAGGCAGCAUGUGCAUCAAAGGUGCAUAUUAGCAAGAUGCUGGAAUUGGAAGCAGAGGUCAGAUUGGAAUGAGAACAAAACUUAAAAGCAAGACCAACGGAAUCAAACUAUUUCCAAGUGAUGCAACUGCUUCUCCUGGAAGAAGGUUCAAGGAUUUUUAUGUAAUAACCAACACCUGGAAGCAAUCCAGACAUCCAUCAGCAGAU